AUACGUAGGGAGCGAGCGUUGUCCGGAAUUACUGGGUGUAAAGGGAGCGUAGGCGGGACGGCAAGUCUGUUGUGAAAUCUAUCGGCUCAACCGGUAGCUGCGGCAGAAACUGCAGUUCUUGAGUGAAGUAGAGGCAGGCGGAAUUCCUAGUGUAGCGGUGAAAUGCGUAGAUAUUAGGAGGAACACCAGUGGCGAAGGCGGCCUGCUGGGCUUUUACUGACGCUGAGGCUCGAAAGUGUGGGGAGC
rnacentral:rRNA from 1 species